UACGUAGGGUGCGAGCGUUGUCCGGAAUUAUUGGGCGUAAAGAGCUCGUAGGCGGCUUGUCGCGUCGGAUGUGAAAGCCCGGGGCUUAACUCCGGGUCUGCAUUCGAUACGGGCAGGCUAGAGUUCGGUAGGGGAGAUCGGAAUUCCUGGUGUAGCGGUGAAAUGCGCAGAUAUCAGGAGGAACACCGGUGGCGAAGGCGGAUCUCUGGGCCGAUACUGACGCUGAGGGACGAAAGCUAGGGGAGCGAAUGGG
rnacentral:rRNA from 1 species